GUAUGGCUGCAGCAGGGCAAGGUUAAUAAAUCUUUCUCAUCAGCAAAUAUAGGCAAAUGCUGAAGACACUUGUCCACCUGUGGCCUAAAUGCUGAAGCAAAGGAGCACGGUGCAGGGUGUGUAUGACACCGUCUCUGGUGCCUGCAGAUCAGAAAUCACCAUCAACACAACUGUACUAACCUUCACUUUUAUGGUGAGGAACAACUGAAGAAUCAAAUCAGCCUCAUUUUGGAUGUAAUUUUAAGACUUGAAGCCCCAACCUAAAGGACCUAAGGAGCCAGAGUUGGAACAUCUGAAAAUAUCAUAAUGUCUUAUGACCGGAUUCUGUCCAUUGAAAACCUGAGUGAUGUUCGAAAUCCAUGGAAGGGAUUCAGUAUGAACCGCUGCAUAGUGCUGGCACUGGUCGUUCUGCUUGUGACCUCAGGGGUGAAUGAAAUGCAUGAUGCUCUGGAUUCUUUUGUUGAUGACUCAGGUAUAAGGUCUUUCUUUGGAAGUCUGCAGGAUGGAUCAAUAACUCAGAUCUCCAUAUGGGAUCAUUUCAUGUGGUGGUGGGGAUCUGAAGAGGUUGGAGCGAUAAGAAGAAGAAAAAAGCUGAUUGGCAACAAAGUAAUCCUGAAACCCAAAGCUAAAGCAUAAAACCUACGCAGCUGCUGACAGGAGAGUGAGAGGCAAAGAAAUAAAGGUCAUGAGCUGUGACAACGGCAGUUUUCUGAAUUAAGAAUGCAAACAGUUUUCAGUAGACUUUGCAUUUAAUAAUAUAAAGUUAGAGAAAGUUACAUUUAAUCAUUUUUUGUUUGUAUUGUAGAGCACCAUGUCUGCAUAUUUGAACUUUUCACUCAAUCAAUUAAUCAUUCUGAAAUUUGUUUCUUAGAACAAUAUUUUUAAUACGGGGAAUCUUCAGUAUAAAACAAAAUAUGGUGUUAUAGAAGAAGUUUAAAAUAAUAAAUAGCUGUUAACACAUAUA